AGAAGAUAGGAUUUUUGGGAUGUACGAAUACCACACCUCUGUCUCCCAAAAGGGCCUCCUCUCAAACGACGACGACGCCAGAGACCAGCGGUCGUGCGUCCUCACUCCUUGUGCGCUAUGGUCGCCUCCACAGGUUCUACAGGUUCGUCCAACACCUUAUGGCCUUUUCUUCUUCGUUAGUAGCGUAUACCGGUAUCUAGGGUUUUUCCAGUCUCUCCAUCUUCGCUGUCGUCAAUGUCGCCCUCGCCCUCACUCUUCUCCCUGACCUAGACAACAGGGAGUCAGCCCGUGUCGGAACUCGGAAGCUGGUUCGUCCAACACCUUAUGGUCUUUUCUUCUUCUUCAGUAGAGUAGACCGACAUCUAGGGUUUUCCAAUCUCUCGAAUAUUUGCUACCGUGAAUGUCGCCUUCGCGCUCGCUCUUCUCCCUGACCCCGACGAGAGGAAGUCAGUCCAUGUCGGAUCUGAAUGAUGGAGCUGCGACAAGGCGAAGGGCGGAGAGCUUACAUGGCUCCCUCGAGUCAAGAGGAGAUAGGAUUUUUGGUUUGUCAACCAUACCAUCGUUGUUCAAUGCUCUGAUUAAAAUGUGCCUAGCGAUUGAAACCUUCGAUACAUUGGAGCUCGGAGCUGCUGCUCUCAUGCAAAGGCUCCUGAGCGCGAGCGAUCAACAAGCCGACGUGCUGUCGCUGCUCGCUGGGGGGAAAGAAGAUCACACAGGUGUAAAAUAAGAGCUUGCUUCUGCUUACACAACAAAGCUUCAUGCUUCCCAAAUGUGCUACAACCCCUAAAGUACCAGGUAUCACUACUCGGAUAGUAAAAAUGUACAAAGCUUCAUGCUUCGCAAAUGUGCAACUCAUUGAAAAAACAGGAGCAUUCGGCCACUAAUGCUUUAUUACACAACAAUUAUGCAUUCAUGUACCCUAUUGUCACUACCGAAAUCUAGGCCUUUGCCGAGUGCCAGAAGAUUUGCCGAGUGCUUUUUGUCGGGCACUCGGCAAAGACGUCUUUGCCGAGCGUCGCACUCGGCAAAGUCCCACACUCGGUAACGAGGUCGUUUACCGAGUGCAGGACACUCGGUACACAAACACACUCGGCAAAGACUUUUUUGCCGAGUACUGAACUCUCGGCAAAGGCGGCGCUCGGCAAAUAGCCGUCAGUGGCCGUCUAAAGCUGACGGCCGUUAACAUUUGCCGAGGGCCGGUGGUUGGUGUGGCAGAACCUCCAAGUUAUCGGGCCCACAUGCAUCUGUCCUUGUCUCAAAGACCUCAGACGGCCAUGCAUGUGCACCAGAUAACUUAACAGGAUCCGUCCGAUUGCCCCAAGGACACCGGAUAAGCCACUUACAACCAGAACCGCGGGAUUAAGUAACACAAAUCACACACACCAAUAUUUUUGCAGCGAAAAUCUUAUUACCAAAUUUUACAAGUUACAAAAAAUUUAUAUUAUUUUAUCGGAGUGAUUACAAAAGUAUAAGUUUGAAAUAUAUGCUAGCUCAAAUGACCAUCCUCAGUAAGAAGAUAAAGACGGGUUAUACUUAUAUAAGAAGGCCGAGCCCACCGGCACUUAACACCAUCACAGCAGCACAAAGUUAUAUCCUGAAAAACAACAGGGAAUAAAACCCUGAGUAUGGAAUUACUCAGCAAGACUUACCCGACUAAAGAAAAGACUCUCAAGGAUAUGCUGGAUUUGGGAAUCAAGGAGAGGCUUUAACAAGAAUCAACUUAGAUACUUUUGCAAAAAGAGCUUACUAAAGUGAGUCCUUACUUUCAAUAUUUUAACGCUAGAUUAAAUAUUAAUAGACUAUGUUUGCAUCUGGUCUAAUUUCACCAUCUCAUCAAUACAACAUCAUUUUUAUUCAUGAGGUUCACAUCCUGACUUAGGUUGCAGGUCAGUGAUCAAGUCUCCACUCUCCGGGGAUAUAACUGCGAUCCGAAUCGAUUUACUCAGCUGAGGAUCUCUAACCACACGACAUAUGUAGCACUUAACCCUUGCAUAUGUCAACCGUUCCCACAGAUCCUCCACAACGUGAACCGGUCCGCGCUACCCGGGAGCACAGUACUCCUCCAUCCAGCCUCUAGCCAGGAGGGCACACGCUACUCCCACCAUCUCCCACGCCCAGUGCACGGUUGUCUUUUCACGUAUGGAAUAGCCGGGUUCAAGCUUACCCUGUCCCAUUUCCAGGGCAUGUGGCCAGUUAAGAUAGUCCUUGAUCUAUCAGGCCUACAUACGCAUCCAAUCCUUAAUUGACCCGGGCGGAGCAUCACCUGUUCCUAGCCCAAGUCCCGAUUUAAGUACUUCCACCCUUAGGAUUGUUUGUAUUCCUUAGGAUGAAAAGAGCAUCAAAGGGAACUUUGCAGUAAGAUCCCACCACGCUCUCACUGAAAAUAUUCUUGCAGGUAGAAGCCAUCUUUCCUCAGGAUAACCCCUGAGCUAGGCCUUAAUGCAAAAGACAACCUCUAUCCACAAGAUCUGAGCAGGGCUAAGCAUUUUUGUAAAUCAUGUUUUGAUACUUCACCAGAAGUAUCUAUAAAGUUAUGGAUAUCAAGGAAGGCAGUGCAUCAAAGGGUUCCAAGCAACUCCUAUAAACCUAAUGCACAUUUCACUAGACUUAAAGUGUGCAAAAAUUAUUUAAAAACACAAGGAAGGGGUUGCAUGCACCGGGGCUUGCCUGGAUAACACUAGGUUAGUGUUGUUAGACGACGUCCACUUGACGAUCAUCCUUGUCCUAACACUUGAUUAGGUGGGUUCGUCCAUCAGCACCACCAUGCGGAGUAGCCCAUGCUUGAGGUCGACUUGACUCAUCUUUCGCAUCACACGAUUAUUUAACGUACCUAAAUGAAAUGCAUUAUGCACAUGAAUGCAUAUCAACAGGAACAACACAAAUCUAAAUAGUGCUAUACGAUAGCGCAUUAAAUACCUAGUGGCGAGGCACAUAAUAAUAUUUAAAAGCAAUUACCAGAUGCCAGGAUAUUACUAAGCACAAUGUCCGCGCUAUUUUAACUUAACCGAAUCUGACUUGAAGAAGAAGCGCUAAUACGAAACACAAGUCCUAUAUAUAUUUCUAAGCUAGAGAAUACAUCAAAAGGCGGACUAGACUUAGGCUGAUUAUUUAGGGACACCUAACUCAGUCUAAGGAUAGAGACUAUUAAUUCUAAUAUUUCGGCUAAUAGGAAUAACAAAAAUGCGCGCCAAUAUUAAAUUCAGCUCAAAUCCACUAAUACUAAUUUCACGUGAAACUACGGCAUCGAUAGUGGGUUCUAGUUCGAGUCUUUCCUCAAACCAAUAGAAUUGGACACUCGAGAAGAACACGUCAGCUAGCUGUUAGAAACACUAAACCUAUCCCGCACAUCAUCGUUAUACCUCCCGUCGAAAACGUAGAACUGAUUUAAACGUACCAGACCUACACGUCUACCUAAGCACUCCUUGUCUAAUUUACAUUGUCAUCAAUCUAAGACAUUUAAUCGGUUACCGAACAUAAAAAAUAACUACUACUAGAGCUGAGCAUCUAUUAUAUCUUAAUAAUUAAAAGCGUCAUAACACUGAAAAAUAGUUGGCUAGCCGAUAAAAAUCCCAACAUAUCCUUCACAUAACCUACGAACUGACGAAUGCUAGAUGAUGCGAUUAAUUCAACAUAUAUCACUUUUGCUAAAAAUACGAGAAUCAACAUAACCUACAUAACUAUCGAUUCAUUUAUUAAAACAAAUAAUAAAAAUAGAGAAUCAGCUCACCAUAAUCAACUCGACUCAAUAUUCGCAAGAACGACGACAGGAACAGGAAGGUGGCUGAGCGGGUUGACGGUGAGCGGCUCCGACAGGAUGAAGGAUGGAGCGACUGAUGAUGGCGUUGGGGAAAUUCAUGAGCAGGCAUCAGGAAGCGGCUCGGCGAGCAUCAGCGUGGAGCUAGGAACAGCAUCCAGGCGAGCGGCCAUGGGAACAGAAGCAAAGGCGCGGGUGCUCCGGUGCCGGCGAGUGCGGACCAGACGAAGUCCCAUGACUAUGGCUUGGUGUGCUGGUGUAGAGGAGAACCGAGACGCUACGAUGAGGAGUCUGGCCGGCGGAGAAACACGACCACGCCGCUGAAAAUGACGGCGUACAGGAGCUGCUCAUGCACAAAUACGAGGGAGGACGAAGCAGGGACGUGAGCAGCUCGGUGCGGUGGGGAGCAGUGAUGCGAGCAGCUUGACGCUGAUGAUGAAGGCCAGGACGAGGUCGUCGGCGCUGAUGUGUUGAGUACAAGGGCAAGGAGGAAGCAGGAAGGGACGCUUGGCGUUGUCCGGCCUAGGUGAGCGGCACGAUGGCGGGCGAGGACGUUACGAGGAUGCUGGCGGUCUGCGUGAGAGACUUCCAGCGAUGCAAUAAUGCACAAGAUAAGAGCAAGGCUGGCAAGAUUUCAGAGGGUACGUGGUUCUUCUAAGCCACGUCUGGAGCAUGCACUAGAAGAAGAUAAGAACGUACACGUUGAGGAGCAUUCUCUGGAAGAAGAUAUUUCACAAACGUUCUCACCAAUUGCAAGUUCUCAUGAACGUUUAUUUUGUAUUUUUUUUUCUAAGGAGCCGACAUCUUAUCUAGGAUAAGGGUUUAAAAGGGAUAACAAGGGAUUGACCCAAAAUAAUAUCCGGCAAAAUAAUUUAGACAGUUCAGACAAACAGAAACAGAUAAGAUAUUGAAAAUCGUAACAGACGAAGACGACUAAAAUUUAGUGACUAUUAUAUUCAUCGAUAUCCCGUACUUAAGUCCAUAGUCGAUAUCCAACAGGAGAUAAACACCUGGGGUGUUACAGCCCUCCCCCCUUAAAAGAAUCUCGUCCCGAGAUUCGGAGCAAAAGACUUUUAAGAGCAGAGAAGAAUGUAACUUCUGUCCAUAUCAGCGAUCACAUAAUACAGUUCCAAGCAAAGGCGAGUGUCUCAGGAUGGGGUUUCUCUAGUGGACAUAACAUGUAUCGCUUUAGGCCAAUUUAGAGAUGUCCAACAAUAGAGACGAGGUCUGCCAGAAGAACACAUAAGGUUCCAUGUGUGCAGUUUGCUUUUUCUGAUGACACUAUAUUAUCUGAGUCUGUUGGGCGAGCGGUAAUUAUAUCUCUUUACCCAAACAGAACCAGAUGCAACCUCUUGGGUAAAACACACAGAAAGAGGUUUACCAACAAGUGGUUAUGGUAAGUUCAUAUCACACGAUACGGGUGUGAAGGUCGAAUAAUAUCACAGUUGACCCGUGGCUAGCCCGAAAAUCCAAGUUCAAGAAAAAUGAUAGAGACUCGGAAAAUAUCAAUGAAGAGAUCCGUUGAUGUUGACUUCGCAACCAAUCCAUUUUAUCGAGCACUAUGCAUGGCUCGACUUGAUCACACAUGCUGGAAAAGCACACGUGAGGCAAUCGAGGCAUGACUAGAGCAAUAAUUAGGUGGUUACCAGUCUACUUAACUUGCUUCUUAUAAGUACUUUCUCAGGAUGGGUUGAACCAAAGUGAGUUUAGACAACUCGACAAAACGAUCUCUAAACUCAACCUUUGAUCACAAUGCAGUUACAAGUUAGUAAAACCAACUUGUCGAACUACCUUUGACAUUGAGCAAGUCCUCUUAUUAUCCAUCGGCAAUUCAAUGGUCAAGAGUUCACUCUUGUUAACAGGAGAUCAUGCACUUGGGUAAAAAUCCAUUUGGUCAGAUUGUUCAUCCGUUUCUCCAUGCGAGAUGAACUAACUUGGUUCAGAAAUACAUGGAUUAAAUAAGAGAGCGAAUGAACAAACUCCUGCAUCUCAGCAGCAGGGGAAGUCAAUCUCCAUUUGAGAGCUAAUUAGCUGUUUUCCAACACUAAAAAGCUUCAAGGCUUCACCUUUACAAGGGACGUAAAGGGAACUUGUAUGAGUAGUCACCACCAAGAUCAAAAGAAAAGAGACCACAUAUGAAAGUGGGAUGCCCUUUUGAUCCAACAGAGAUGAUAAAUGUUGCUUGAUCACUCGACAAACAACAUAGAAAUUGUUUCAAGGGAAAGUCCACGGAAGAUAACACAUUAGAGUAGUUCCAUAAUGGAUCAUGACUAGAGACCUCGAUACCAGCAUGCGCCAAGCAGCAUAGCCUUGCGUGUACAUUAACAAGGGGCUCUCAGUUUCGCUGCGGCACCAUAAGUCGUUAAUCGUGACACCAUUACCAAACAGGCACCAAUAAUGAAUCUCACAUGGUAAGAAUAAUUUGUGACAAGAUAACACAUUGAUAUAGUCUCAUAAUGGAUUAUAACUACUAACUGUGAUACCAGCGCGUGCCGAGUAGCGCAACCAUGUGUAUGCAUCCACAGGAGGCCCUCGGUUUCGUCGCGGCACCAUCAAUUUUAGUCACAACACCAUUAUCAGACGUAACCAAUAACAAAUCUCGCACUGCACAAAUAGACUGAGUCUGAAUGACAAUAUUCAAAAAAGACUCCACCUGUAAGAAUGGUUACAAGUAGAGAGCCAAAUAGAUCAUGGCCCGAUGAAGUGAACACGACAUGGCCAUAACCUAAACUGGGUGGUGAGGGAGUCUUCAGCCCCAAGCAUAUCUCUAUGCCCAUCGCAGAGAGUACAAGGGUCAAGGAAUUAGUAUCUGAUUAGAUACAGAGGGGAAACAAUCAUAAGAUUAAGUUGGUAUGCCUUCGAUAGGUAUGGGGGAAAUCAAAGGCAUCAAAUUCAAGAAAAUGGUCGAACAUACUUUUCCUAGGUUGGGUUGAUAAUUCAACAUGGCGAUCCUUAAGAACAGGCGAACUGGUUAAGGUACAUCAGCUUGCACCAAUAAACAAGGGAAUGGUUUUAGAAGGAAACAUGACUCGAGAUUCUUGUUUAAGCCUAGGCACAAUUUAUGUCCAACAAAGAAAUUAUCUACGCAUUUAUUUGCAUGGGUUUAGUCAUGGAGUGAUAACGGAAAAUUCAAAUUUGGGUCAUGGUUCACUAAAUAAGAACAUGGCCUAGUUUUGGGUUUAGGCAAUCAAAUUACCAACCUUCUAUCGGCACAUCAAGCACAAGAGCAAACACAUAUAACACCUAAACAGAUUACCUCAAGAACGGAGGACAACUAUUUCAUCAAAGUUCAUAAUAACGCAUUACACCACAUUAUCUACAAUCACUGGUUACUGGAAUAAAGAUGAGAGAAGCAUUUUGGGUGUAUAGGUGACAAACAUGAUGCAACAAUUAGGAUGCAUGCUCGUCCUAUUCGUCCUCACUAAUUUUGCCAACAUAUUGUGGCAAUAACGUUCUAUAUCGGUGGCAUACGUUCUCUCACGGUAAUUUGCCAGUCGUCAACUACACAUACGUUUUCGAGGUUAGUGUACCUGCAGAAAAAUCCAUCACAACCCAAUUCCCAAUGAUGCAAGUCACACAUGACAGUGUAUCACAGUUUAUACUCCAUAUAUUGCUAUAUGGAGACCAGCUCAUCAUUAAGCGCCGAGCCACGCAUAGGCGCCGUUGCCACACUUUAACCAUAGGGCAACUCAUUAUGGUAACUCACCUUCUUACCUGAGCGUAGGUGCGUCGUUACAAGUACAUUACAUUUCCCAGUAUUCCCAUGUCUGUAUACCCAUACACAUUCAUGGGGUACUGAAUUCCUAGAAAAGUAAUUACUCCACAUCGCAGCCUUCAUAUAUACAUAUGUGGAACAUGUAUAUAAUCAAGCGCUUUUUAUACUCUUCCCUAGACCGACGGUUGUUCGGUCAUGCUCUCACAUCUCACCUUACCUGAGCGUCGAUCCAUUCAAAACUGAAUGGCCUCAAAAAUAACAAUACACAUGUAUGCAAUACCCCCGGUUGUGGUUUUCAACUAAGCCACCUGAUAGUCCUUAACUUAGGGCUUAAUAGAGGAUGUCGCUAGCAUUAUAGUUUUUCAAAGCUGUUUUUCAAAGCCAACCUAUGUGUUUAGUUGAAAAUAGGUUUUUCAAAACCAAAACUUUUGUUUUGAAAAUACGUAUGUGACCGUAUAUACUUAAUCUCGCUCCAAUACCAGCUGUGGCAGAACCUCCAAGUUAUCGGGCCCACAUGCAUCUGUCCUUGUCUCAAAGACCUCAGACGGCCAUGCAUGUGCACCAGAUAACUUAACAGGAUCCGUCCGAUUGCCCCAAGGACACCGGAUAAACCACUUACAACCAGAACUGCGGGAUUAAUUAACACAAAUCACACACACCAAUAUUUUUGCAGCGGAAAUCUUAUUACCAAAUUUUACAAGUUACAAAAAAUUUAUAUUAUUUUAUCGGAGUGAUUACAAAAGUAUAAGUUUGAAAUAUAUGCUAGCUCAAAUGACCAUCCUCAGUAAGAAGAUAAAGACGGGUUAUACUUAUAUAAGAAGGCCGAGCCCACCGGCACUUAACACCAUCACAGCAGCACAAAGUUAUAUCCUGAAAAACAACAGGGAAUAAAACCCUGAGUAUGGAAUUACUCAGCAAGACUUACCCGACUAAAGAAAAGACUCUCAAAGAUAUGCUGGAUUUGGGAAUCAAGGAGAGGCUUUAACAAGAAUCAACUUAGAUACUUUUGCAAAAAGAGCUUACUAAAGUGAGUCCUUACUUUCAAUAUUUUAACGCCAGAUUAAAUAUUAAUAGACUAUGUUUGCAUCUGGUCUAAUUUCACCAUCUCAUCAAUACAACAUCAUUUUUAUUCAUGAGGUUCACAUCCUGACUUAGGUUGCAGGUCAGUGAUCAAGUCUCCACUCUCCGGGGAUAUAACGGCGAUCCGAAUUGAUUUACUCAGCUGAGGAUCUCUAACCACACGACAUAUGUAGCACUUAACCCUUGCAUAUGUCAACCGUUCCCACAGAUCCUCCACAACGUGAACCGGUCCGCGCUACCCGGGAGCACAGUACUCCUCCAUCCAGCCUCUAGCCAGGAGGGCACACGCUACUCCCACCAUCUCCCACGCCCAGUGCGCGGUUGUCUUUUCACGUAUGGAAUAGCCGGGUUCAAGCUUACCCUGUCCCAUUUCCAGGGCAUGUGGCCAGUUAAGAUAGUCCUUGAUCUAUCAGGCCUACAUACGCAUCCAAUCCUUAAUUGACCCGGGCGGAGCAUCACCUGUUCCUAACCCAAGUCCCGAUUUAAGUACUUCCACCCUUAGGAUUGUUUGUAUUCCUUAGGAUGAAAAGAGCAUCAAAGGGAACUUUGCAGUAAGAUCCCACCACGCUCUCACUGAAAAUAUUCUUGCAGGUAGAAGCCAUCUUUCCUCAGGAUAACCCCUGAGCUAGGCCUUAAUGCAAAAGACAACCUCUAUCCACAAGAUCUGAGCAGGGCUAAGCAUUUUUGUAAAUCAUGUUUUGAUACUUCACCAGAAGUAUCUAUAAAGUUAUGGAUAUCAAGGAAGGCAGUGCAUCAAAGGGUUCCAAGCAACUCCUAUAAACCUAAUGCACAUUUCACUAGACUUAAAGUGUGCAAAAAUUAUUUAAAAACACAAGGAAGGGGUUGCAUGCACCGGGGCUUGCCUGGAUAACACUAGGUUAGUGUUGUUAGACGACGUCCACUUGACGAUCAUCCUUGUCCUAACACUUGAUUAGGUGGGUUCGUCCAUCAGCACCACCAUGCGGAGUAGCCCAUGCUUGAGGUCGACUUGACUCAUCUUUCGCAUCACACGAUUAUUUAACGUACCUAAAUGAAAUGCAUUAUGCACAUGAAUGCAUAUCAACAGGAACAACACAAAUCUAAAUAGUGCUAUACGAUAGCGCAUUAAAUACCUAGUGGCGAGGCACAUAAUAAUAUUUAAAAGCAAUUACCAGAUGCCAGGAUAUUACUAAGCACAAUGUCCGCGCUAUUUUAACUUAACCGAAUCUGACUUGAAGAAGAAGCGCUAAUACGAAACACAAGUCCUAUAUAUAUUUCUAAGCUAGAGAAUACAUCAAAAGGCGGACUAGACUUAGGCUGAUUAUUUAGGGACACCUAACUCAGUCUAAGGAUAGAGACUAUUAAUUCUAAUAUUUCGGCUAAUAGGAAUAACAAAAAUGCGCGCCAAUAUUAAAUUCAGCUCAAAUCCACUAAUACUAAUUUCACGUGAAACUACGGCAUCGAUAGUGGGUUCUAGUUCGAGUCUUUCCUCAAACCAAUAGAAUUGGACACUCGAGAAGAACACGUCAGCUAGCUGUUAGAAACACUAAACCUAUCCCGCACAUCAUCGUUAUACCUCCCGUCGAAAACGUAGAACUGAUUUAAACGUACCAGACCUACACGUCUACCUAAGCACUCCUUGUCUAAUUUACAUUGUCAUCAAUCUAAGACAUUUAAUCGGUUACCGAACAUAAAAAAUAACUACUACUAGAGCUGAGCAUCUAUUAUAUCUUAAUAAUUAAAAGCGUCAUAACACUGAAAAAUAGUUGGCUAGCCGAUAAAAAUCCCAACAUAUCCUUCACAUAACCUACGAACUGACGAAUGCUAGAUGAUGCGAUUAAUUCAACAUAUAUCACUUUUGCUAAAAAUACGAGAAUCAACAUAACCUACAUAACUAUCGAUUCAUUUAUUAAAACAAAUAAUAAAAAUAGAGAAUCAGCUCACCAUAAUCAACUCGACUCAAUAUUCGCAAGAACGACGACAGGAACAGGAAGGUGGCUGAGCGGGUUGACGGUGAGCGGCUCCGACAGGAUGAAGGAUGGAGCGACUGAUGAUGGCGUUGGGGAAAUUCAUGAGCAGGCAUCAGGAAGCGGCUCGGCGAGCAUCAGCGUGGAGCUAGGAACAGCAUCCAGGCGAGCGGCCAUGGGAACAGAAGCAAAGGCGCGGGUGCUCCGGUGCCGGCGAGUGCGGACCAGACGAAGUCCCAUGACUAUGGCUUGGUGUGCUGGUGUAGAGGAGAACCGAGACGCUACGAUGAGGAGUCUGGCCGGCGGAGAAACACGACCACGCCGCUGAAAAUGACGGCGUACAGGAGCUGCUCAUGCACAAAUACGAGGGAGGACGAAGCAGGGACGUGAGCAGCUCGGUGCGGUGGGGAGCAGUGAUGCGAGCAGCUUGACGCUGAUGAUGAAGGCCAGGACGAGGUCGUCGGCGCUGAUGUGUUGAGUACAAGGGCAAGGAGGAAGCAGGAAGGGACGCUUGGCGUUGUCCGGCCUAGGUGAGCGGCACGAUGGCGGGCGAGGACGUUACGAGGAUGCUGGCGGUCUGCGUGAGAGACUUCCAGCGAUGCAAUAAUGCACAAGAUAAGAGCAAGGCUGGCAAGAUUUCAGAGGGUACGUGGUUCUUCUAAGCCACGUCUGGAGCAUGCACUAGAAGAAGAUAAGAACGUACACGUUGAGGAGCAUUCUCUGGAAGAAGAUAUUUCACAAACGUUCUCACCAAUUGCAAGUUCUCAUGAACGUUUAUUUUGUAUUUUUUUUUUCUAAGGAGCCGACAUCUUAUCUAGGAUAAGGGUUUAAAAGGGAUAACAAGGGAUUGACCCAAAAUAAUAUCCGGCAAAAUAAUUUAGACAGUUCAGACAAACAGAAACAGAUAAGAUAUUGAAAAUCGUAACAGACGAAGACGACUAAAAUUUAGUGACUAUUAUAUUCAUCGAUAUCCCGUACUUAAGUCCAUAGUCGAUAUCCAACAGGAGAUAAACACCUGGGGUGUUACAGUUGGCACUUGGCAAAGAGGUUUCUUUGCCGAGUGUCAACCAGCUGACACUCGGCAAAGGCCUAUUUACCGAGUGCCUUCUUUGGGCACUCGGCAAAGUAUAUUUUUAUUUUUUAAAUUUUAUCAACCAAACUUUUUGUGGUAUGUUCCUACACUACGUAGACCUACAUGUACCAUUUCGGGACAAUUAUAACAGUGUUUUUGUAAUGCCCUGGAUUUGGGGGUAGAAUUUUUUUCUUCUUUUCACUCACCAAAUUUGGGUGUUACUCUCUUUUCUCUUCCCGUUUCGCUUCCUUCUUCCCAAUUUCAAACCAGUAUAGUGACAGGUGUCCGUGUUAUGUAUAAACCAAAACCUAAGUGUCAUGGGUGUUGCAUCAUGCCAAACCGCAUUUCUUUGUCUGAUGUCGCGUGUCCGUCCCGUUCCGUCUCAGAUUUUGGUUCGCGAUUAGAGCCCAUUUGAUGGUCGUGUGUGUCGUGGGUUUCGAUCCGCGAUGUGACCCUGUCCGGCCCGGCCCAGCCUGCGCGCCCCUGCCCUCCCCCUGCGCGCCCCCUUCCCCAGACCCGUUUGGCUCAUUUGAUUUUUUUCCCGCGCAGCAACCUCUCUCUCUCUCCCGUGGUGCCCUAGGUUUUGGAGAAGGUGAUCGCCGGAGUUGGAUCCCCGAGGUGAGCCCCCUCCCUUCUCCUCUCUCUCCCUCCCCCGCGCGGCCCACCUCUCCCUCCCCGCGGCGGCGCGGCACGACCCCGCCCCGGCCCCCUGCGCGGCGGCGCUCGCCCCCGCCUCGGCCCCCGGCGCAGCGCUCGCCCCUGCCCCUCCCCUUCCCCCCGGCGCGGCGCUCGCCCCCGCCCCUGCUUCCCCCGCGGCGGCAUAGCCCGCCCACCCCCCUGCUCCCUCCCCCGUGCGGCCCUGCCCCCCCGGCGGCGGUUCCCGGCCCUGGUGGCGGUCCCCGGCCCCGGCGCAGCCCGCCCGCCCCCUCUCCCUCCCCCGCGCGGCCCUGCCCCCCCGGCGGCGGUUCUCGGCCCCAGUGGCGGUCCCCGGCCCCGGCGCAGCCCGCUCGCCCCCCUGCUCCCUCCCCCGCGGCGGUCCGGCCCUCGGCGCGGCGGUCCGGCCCCCAGCGCGCGGACCCGGCCCCCGGCGCGGCGUUCCCGGCCCCCUGCGCGCGGCGUCCCGGCCCCCCGGCACGACUCGCGUGGCCUCGACGUGGCCUCGCGCUCCCCCGUUUACCCCUAACAUGUUCCCGCGUGAGCAACCCCACGCGCGCGGUGUUUAUUCUUGGUUUUUAAUUAAUUUCAAACUCCGUUAGUUAGCAUGCUACGUCGCGCGCUUCGCCACACGACAAAUUUGUUUAAUUUCAGAUUCUAUUAAUGUGUUGCGUCGCGCGCUUCGUCGCGCGACGAUCCAUUUUAAUUUCAGGUUGUCUAAUGUGUGACGUCGCGCGUCCAGUCACGCGACGUUCCACUUUAAACUCAGUUCUGUGGACGUAUGCCGUCGUGUGUUUCGUCGCGCGAUGCUUAACGUCUCUUUAUAAUUAAUGCAAGUGUCUCGUCGUGCGCUCUGUCGCAUGACGAGUCGUUGAUUUCUUAAUUUGAUUUAGAGUGUUAUGUUGCGUGUCCCGCUGCGCGACAAUCCUUUUAAUUUAUCUUCAUCUGCUUAUAAUGAUUAGACAUGAAACAUGACUUUACUUUAUGCUAAACUUAGUAUCCAAACUAAUGCCCUUCGGUUAAGCGAGUGGUUUAAUUUAUAAUAAUGUAACGUGAUCGUUUCUCGACUGUCUUUUCCUCUUUCUCUCUUAACCGUAAUUGCGAGCCCGCGUGGAACGUCUGUUUAUUUAUUGCAUCCUAUUGUAUGGUGUACUGUUCUUUUGUAUUAAAUGUGUGGAUGUAUGUAUGUUUGCGCUCGCAUAGAGAACGAUCUGGUUGAAGAGCCCGAAGAGCUUGCAGGAGAAGCCCCUGAGCAGCAGUCGGUUGGUGGAGGCAAGUCUCCCUUAACCUAUCUCUGUCCUAUACAUUCUUUAAUUCACCUCCUGAAAGGGAAUUAGGCUUACACCUAGUUCCCAAAUAAUUUUGGUGGUUGAAUUGCCCAACACAAAUAAUCGGACUAACUAGUUUGCCCAAGUGUAUAGAUUAUACAGGUGUAAAAGGUUCACACUCAGCCAAUAAAAAGACCAAGUUUUGGAUUCAACAAAGGAGCAAAAGGGGCAACCGAAGGCACCCCUGGUCUGGCGCACCGGACUGUCCGGUGCGCCACCGGACAUGUCCGGUGCACCAGGGGGACUCAGUCUCAAACUCGCCACCUUCGGGAAUUCCCUGAGGCGACUCGGCUAUAAUUCACCGGACUGUCCGGUGUACACCGGACAGUGUCCGGUGCGCCAAAGGAGGUCGGCCUCAGGAACUCGCCUGCUUCGGGAAACUCCAACGGCUAGUCCGCUAAAAUUCACCGGACUGUCCGGUGUGCACCGGACUGUCCGGUGCGACUCCGGAGCAACGGUCAUCUCCGCGCCAACGGCUCUCUGCCGCGCAUUUAAUGCGCGCUCUGCGCGCGCAGGAGUCAGGAUCGCCCAUGCUGGCACACCGGACAGCAAACAGUACAUGUCCGGUGUGCACCGGACACCCAGGCGGGCCCACAAGUCAGAAGCUCCAACGGUCAGAAUCCAACGGCAGUGAUGACGUGGCAGGGGGCACCGGACUGUCCGGUGUGCACCGGACUGUCCGGUGCGCCAUCGAGCAGACAGCCUCCCAACGACCACUUUUGGUGGUUGGGGCUAUAAAUACCCCAACCACCCCACCAUUCAUUGCAUCCAAGUUUUUCACUUCCUAACUACUACAAGAGCUCUAGCAUUCAAUUCUAGACACACCAAAGAGAUCAAAUCCUCUCCAAUUCCACACAAAGCCCUAGCGACUAGUGAGAGUGAUUUGCCGUGUUCAUUUAAGCUCUUGCGCUUGGAUUGCUUCUUUUCUUUCUCACUUGUUCUUGUGAUCAAUACUCCAUUGUAAUCAAGGCAAGAGGCACCAAUUGUGUGGUGGCCCUUGCGGGGAAGUUUUGUUCCCGGCUUUGAUUUGAGAAGAGAAGCUCACUCGGUCCGAGGGACCGUUUGAGAGAGGGAAGGGUUGAAAGAGACCCGGCCUUUGUGGCCUCCUCAACGGGGAGUAGGUUUGAGAGAACCGAACCUCGGUAAAACAAAUCCGUGUGUCACACUUCAUUAUUUGCUCGCGAUUUGUUUUGCGCCCUCUCUCGCGGACUCGUUUAUAUUUCUGACGCUAACCCGGCUUGUAGUUGUGUUUAUAUUUGUAAAUUUCAGUUUCGCCCUAUUCACCCCCCCUCUAGGCGACUAUCAAUUGGUAUCAGAACCCGGUGCUUCAUUAGAGCCUAACCGCUCGAAGUGAUGUCGGGAGAUCACGCCAAGAAGGAGAUGGAGACCGGCGAAAAGCCCACUACAAGCCACGGGAGCACUUCAUCGGAAGAGUCCCGCACCAAGAGGAAGGAGAAGAAGAAGAACUCCUCCAAACGGAAGGAGAAAAAGUCUUCCUCUUCUCACCACAAAGAGAGGAAGGAAAAAUCUUCUUCCCACAAGCCGCAUCGGAAAGGCGACAAGCACAAAAGGAUGAGGAAAGUGGUCUACUACGAGACCGACACUUCAUCAACAUCCACCUCCGACUCCGAUGCGCCCUCCGUCACUUCUAAGCGCCAAGAGCGCAAGAAGUAUAGUAAGAUCCCCCUACACUACGCUCGCAUUUCCAAACAUACACCUUUACUUUCCGUCCCAUUAGGCAAACCACCAACUUUUGAUGGUGAAGAUUACGCUAGGUGGAGCGAUUUAAUGCGAUUUCAUCUAACCUCGCUCCACAAAAGUAUAUGGGAUGUUGUUGAGUUUGGUGCACAGGUACCGUCAGUAGGGGAUGAGGACUAUGAUGAGGAUGAGGUGGCCCAAAUCGAGCACUUCAACUCUCAAGCAACAACAAUACUCCUCGCCUCUCUAAGUAGAGAGGAGUAUAACAAAGUUCAAGGGUUGAAGAGCGCCAAGGAGAUUUGGGAUGUGCUCAAAACCGCGCACGAGGGAGACGAGCUCACCAAGAUCACCAAGAGGGAAACGAUCGAGGGGGAGCUCGGUCGGUUCCGGCUUCGCAAAGGGGAGGAGCCACAACACAUGUACAACCGGCUCAAGACCUUGGUGAAUCAAGUGCGCAACCUCGGGAGCGUAAAGUGGGAUGACCACGAGAUGGUUAAGGUUAUUCUAAGAUCCCUUAUUUUCCUUAACCCUACUCAAGUUCAAUUAAUCCGUGGUAAUCCUAGAUAUACUAAAAUGACCCCCGAGGAAGUUAUUGGGAAUUUUGUGAGUUUUGAGUGCAUGAUCGAAGGCUCGAGGAAGAUCAACGAGCUUGAUGAUGCCACCACAUCCGAAGCUCAACCCGUUGCAUUCAAGGCAACGGAGGAGAAGAAGGAGGAGUCUACACCAAGUCGACAACCAAUAGACGCCUCCAAGCUCGACAAUGAGGAAAUGGCGCUUGUCAUCAAAAGCUUCCGCCAAAUCCUCAAGCAAAGGAGGGGGAAGGAUUACAAGUCCCGCUCCAAGAAGGUUUGCUACAAGUGUGGUAAGCCCGGUCAUUUUAUUGCUAAAUGUCCUAUAUCUAGUGACAGUGACCGAGGUGACGACAAGAAGGGGAGGCGAAAGGAGAAGAAGAGGUACUACAAGAAGAAGGGCGGUGAUGCCCAUGUUUGUCGGGAGUGGGACUCCGACGAAAGCUCAAGCGACUCCUCCGACGACGAGGACGCCGCCAACAUCGCCGUCACCAAGGGACUUCUCUUCCCCAACGUCGGCCACAAGUGCCUCAUGGCAAAGGACGGCAAAAGGAAGAAGGUUAAAUCCAACUCCUCCACCAAAUAUGAAUCGUCUAGUGAUGAUAAUGCUAGUGGUGAGGAAGAUAAUUUGCGCAUCCUUUUUGCCAAUCUUAACAUGGAACAAAAAGAAAAAUUAAAUGAGCUAAUUAGUGCCAUCCAUGAAAAGGAUGAUCUCUUGGACUCCCAAGAGGACUUCCUAAUCAAGGAAAAUAAGAAACAUGUUAAGGUUAAAAAUGCUUACUCUCUACAAGUUGAAAAAUGUGAAAAAUUGUCUAGUGAGCUAAGCACUUGCCGUGAGAUGAUUGACAACCUUAGAAAUGAAAAUGCUAGUUUAAAUGCUAAAGUUGAUUCUCAUGUUUGUAAUGUUUCAAUUCCCAAUCCUAGAGAUAAUAAUGAUGAUUUGCUUGCUAGGAUUGAAGAAUUAAACAUUUCUCUUGCUAGCCUUAGAUUAGAGAAUGAAAAUUUGAUUGCUAAUGCUAAAGAUUUUGAUGUUUGCAAAGUUACAAUUGCCGAUCUUAGAGAUAAGAAUGAUAUACUUUGUGCUAAGAUUGUUGAACUUAAUUCUUGCAAACCAUCUACAUCUACCAUUGAGCAUGUCACUAUUUGUACUAGAUGUAGAAAUAUUGAUAUUGAUGCUAUUCAUGAUCAUAUGGCUUUAAUUAAACAACAAAAUGAUCAUAUAGCAAAACUAGAUGCUAAAAUUGCCGAGCACAACUUAGAAAAUGAGAAAUUUAAAUUUGCUCAUAGCAUGCUUUAUAAUGGGAGACGCCCUGGCAUCAAGGAUGGCAUUGGCUUCCAAAGGGGAAACAAUGUCAAACUUAAUGCCUCUCCAAAGAACCUAUCCAACUUUGUUAAAGGCAAGGCUCCCAUGCCUCAGGAUAACGAGGGUUACAUUUUGUACCCUGCCAGCUAUCCUGAGAGCAAAAUUAGGAAAAUUCAUUCUAGGAAGUCUCACUCUGGCCCUAAUCAUGCUUUUAUGUAUAAGGGUGAGACAUCUAGCUCUAGGCAACCAACCCGUGCCAAGUUGCCUAGAAAGGAAGCUCCUAUUGCAUCAAAUGAUCAUGUUAUUUCAUUUAAAACUUUUGAUGCUUCUUAUGUGCUUACAAGCAAAUCCGGCAAGGUAGUUGCCAAAUUUGUUGGGGGCAAACACAAGGGAUCAAAAACUUGUGUUUGGGUACCCAAAGUUCUUGUUUCUAAUGCCAAAGGACCCAAAACCGUUUGGGUACCUAAAGUCAAGAACUAAAUUUGUUUUAUAGGUUUAUGCAUCCGGGGGCUCAAGUUGGAUACUCGACAGCGGGUGCACAAACCACAUGACAGGGGAGAAAAGGAUGUUCUCCUCAUAUGAGAAAAACCAAGAUCCCCAACGAGCUAUCACAUUCGGGGAUGGAAAUCAAGGUUUGGUCAAAGGAUUGGGUAAAAUUGCUAUAUCAUCUGACCAUACUAUUUCCAAUGUUUUUCUCGUUGAUUCAUUAGAUUACAAUUUGCUUUCCGUUUCACAAUUAUGUCAAAUGGGCUACAACUGUCUCUUUACUGAUGUAGGUGUCACUGUCUUUAGAAGAAGUGAUGAUUCAAUAGCAUUUAAGGGUGUGUUAGAGGGUCAGCUAUACUUGGUAGAUUUUGAUAGAGUUGAACUCGACACAUGCUUAAUUGCUAAGACUAACAUGGGUUGGCUCUGGCACCGCCGACUAGCCCAUGUUGGGAUGAAGAAUCUUCAUAAGCUUCUAAAGGGAGAGCACAUUUUAGGAUUAACAAAUGUUCAUUUUGAGAAAGACAGGAUUUGUAGCGCAUGCCAGGCGGGGAAGCAAGUUGGAGUCCAUCAUCCACACAAGAACAUCAUGACGGCCGACAGGCCGCUUGAGCUACUCCACAUGGAUCUAUUCGGCCCGAUUGCUUACAUAAGCAUCGGCAGGAGUAAGUAUUGUCUUGUAAUAGUGGAUGAUUAUUCUCGCUUCACUUGGGUAUUCUUCUUACAGGAAAAAUCUCAAACCCAAGAGACUUUAAAGGGGUUCUUGAGACGGGCUCAAAAUGAGUUCGGCUUAAGGAUCAAGAAAAUAAGAAGCGACAACGGGACGGAGUUCAAGAACUCUCAAAUUGAAGGCUUCCUUGAGGAGGAGGGCAUCAAGCAUGAGUUCUCUUCCCCCUACACACCUCAACAAAAUGGUGUAGUGGAGAGAAAGAAUCGAACUCUAUUGGACAUGGCAAGAACCAUGCUUGAUGAGUACAAGACACCGGACCGGUUUUGGGCCGAAGCGGUCAGCACCGCCUGCUACGCCAUCAAUCGGUUAUAUCUUCACCGAAUCCUCAAGAAGACAUCCUAUGAACUCCUAACCGGUAAAAAGCCCAACAUUUCAUACUUUAGAGUUUUUGGUAGCAAAUGCUUUAUUCUUGUUAAAAGAGGUAGAAAAUCUAAAUUUGCUCCUAAAACUGUAGAAGGCUUUUUACUUGGUUAUGACUCAAACACAAGGGCAUAUAGAGUCUUUAACAAGUCCACUGGACUAGUUGAAGUCUCAUGUGACGUUGUGUUUGAUGAAACUAACGGCUCUCAAGUAGAGCAAGUUGAUCUUGAUGAAAUAGGUAAUGAAGAGGCUCCGGGCAUCGCGCUAAGGAACAUGUCCAUUGGGGAUGUGUGUCCUAGGGAAUCCGAAGAGCCUCCAAGUGCACAAGAUCAACCAUCCUCCACCACGCAAGCAUCUCCACCAACUCAAAAUGAGGAUGAGGCUCAAGUUGAUGAAGGGCAAAAUCAAGAAGAUGAGCCACCUCAAGAUGAUGGCAAUGAUCAAGGGGGAGAUGCAAAUGAUCAAGAAAAGGAGGAUGAGGAAGAACCAAGGCCGCCACACCCAAGAGUCCACCAAGCAAUCCAACGAGAUCACCCCGUCGACACCAUCCUCGGCGACAUUCAUAAGGGGGUAACCACUCGAUCUCGUGUUGCACAUUUUUGUGAACAUUACUCUUUUGUUUCCUCUAUUGAGCCACACAGGGUAGAGGAAGCACUUCAAGAUUCGGAUUGGGUGAUGGCGAUGCAAGAGGAGCUCAACAAUUUCACAAGGAACGAGGUAUGGCAUUUAGUUCCACGUCCUAACCAAAAUGUUGUAGGAACCAAAUGGGUCUUCCGCAACAAGCAAGAUGAGCAUGGUGUGGUGACAAGGAACAAAGCACGACUUGUGGCCAAGGGAUAUUCCCAAGUCGAAGGUUUGGAUUUCGGUGAAACCUAUGCACCCGUAGCUAGGCUUGAGUCAAUUCGCAUAUUAUUGGCCUAUGCUACUUACCAUGGCUUUAAGCUUUAUCAAAUGGACGUGAAAAGUGCCUUCCUCAACGGACCAAUCAAGGAAGAGGUCUAUGUUGAGCAACCUCCCGGCUUUGAAGACAGUGAGUACCCUAACCAUGUCUAUAGGCUCUCUAAGGCGCUUUAUGGGCUCAAGCAAGCCCCAAGAGCAUGGUAUGAAUGCCUUAGAGAUUUUCUUAUUGCAAAUGGCUUCAAAGUCGGCAAGGCCGAUCCUACUUUGUUCACUAAAACUCUUGACAGUGAUUUGUUCGUAUGCCAAAUUUAUGUUGAUGAUAUUAUAUUUGGGUCUACUAACGAAUCUACAUGUGAAGAAUUUAGUAGGAUCAUGACAAAGAAAUUCGAGAUGUCUAUGAUGGGGGAGUUGAAGUAUUUUCUAGGAUUUCAAGUCAAGCAACUCCAAGAGGGCACCUUCAUUAGCCAAACCAAGUAUACUCAAGACAUUCUUUGCAAAUUUGGAAUGAAGGAUGCCAAGCCCAUCAAAACACCCAUGGGAACCAAUGGGCAUCUCGACCUCGACACGGGAGGUAAGUCCGUGGAUCAAAAGGUAUACCGGUCGAUGAUAGGUUCCUUACUCUAUUUAUGUGCUUCUCGACCGGAUAUUAUGCUUUCCGUUUGCAUGUGUGCAAGAUUCCAAUCCGACCCUAAGGAAUCCCACCUUACGGCCGUAAAACGAAUCUUGAGAUAUUUGGCUUAUACUCCUAAGUUUGGGCUUUGGUACCCUCGGGGAUCCACAUUUGAUUUGAUUGGUUAUUCGGAUGCCGAUUGGGCAGGGUGCAAAAUUAAUAGGAAGAGCACAUCGGGGACUUGCCAAUUCUUGGGAAGAUCCUUGGUGUCUUGGGCUUCAAAGAAGCAAAAUUCGGUCGCUCUUUCCACCGCCGAAGCCGAGUACAUUGCCGCAGGCCAUUGUUGCGCGCAAUUGCUUUGGAUGAGGCAAACCCUGCGGGACUACGGUUACAAAUUAACCAAAGUCCCUUUGCUAUGUGAUAAUGAGAGUGCAAUCAAAAUGGCCGACAAUCCCGUCGAGCAUAGCCGCACUAAGCACACAGCCAUUCGGUAUCAUUUUCUUAGGGAUCACCAACAAAAGGGAGAUAUCGAGAUUUCUUACAUUAACACUAAAGAUCAAUUAGCCGAUAUCUUCACCAAGCCUCUUGAUGAACAAUCUUUUACCAGACUUAGGCAUGAGCUCAAUAUUCUUGAUUCUUGUAACACCCCGUCCAAUCCCUGGACCGGGGUACUUACUCCUGGCAGCUCUCUAGGAUCAUAUAUUGUCCCCACAGACCAACACGAGUCUUUUGUGCGCACUUUGUCCUCACUCAUGCGCACCCGAGAAAACUUCUCGGUCGGUCACCCAUCCCAAAUUGCUCCAAGCCAAGCACGCUUAACUUGGAGGUUCUUUCGAGAUAGGCUUCCGAAAAAGAAGAUGCACCUUGUUGGUAUGAUUACACUAUUAAUUCUAUUUAGCCUUGGGCCAGGACAUCCCAUCCCAGGGGCCAGGAUAUCACAAUCCACCCCCCUUAGAAGACCGACGUCCUUGUCGGUCAACCCCAAUCCAGGAACCUCCCCUCUUGGCCACGUCUGUAUGUCUAGUGUCGUCAUAUGCCAUGCCAUGUGACCACUCCGGGCCCACAUGCGCCAUGCGCCAUAUACCUGAACCCCCUAGCCCACACACACCCGUGAAACCGCGAGGGUCGGCUCUGAUACCACUUGUAACACCCCGUCCAAUCCCUGGACCGGGGUACUUACUCCUGGCAGCUCUCUAGGAUCAUAUAUUGUCCCCACAGACCAACACGAGUCUUUUGUGCGCACUUUGUCCUCACUCAUGCGCACCCGAGAAAACUUCUCGGUCGGUCACCCAUCCCAAAUUGCUCCAAGCCAAGCACGCUUAACUUGGAGGUUCUUUCGAGAUAGGCUUCCGAAAAAGAAGAUGCACCUUGUUGGUAUGAUUACACUAUUAAUUCUAUUUAGCCUUGGGCCAGGACAUCCCAUCCCAGGGGCCAGGAUAUCACAAUUCUAGAAAUUUCUUUUGCUAGCUUGCACACAUAGCUCAUUUGAAUACCUUUGAUCAUAUCUCUUUUAUAUGCUAUGACUAAUGUGCUUUCAAGUCUAUUUCAAACCAAGUCAUAGGUAUAUUGAAAGGGAAUUGGAGUCUUCGGCGAAGACAAAGGCUUCCACUCCGUAACUCAUCCUUCGCCAUCGCUCCAAGAAAAGGACCUUGUCUUUGGGGGAGAGAGUAAAAGCCCAAAGCAAAAGGACCGGACUUCGUCUUUGGUAUAAUCUUAACUCAUUUACUUAUGACCAAAGGGGAAGAAAUUACUUUGACGGCUCUAAUGAUUCCGUUUUUGGCGAUUCAUGCCAAAAAGGGGGAGAAAUGAGCCCAAAGCAAAAGGACCGCACCACCACCAAUUUCAAAAACUUAGUACUUUCCAAAAGUAUUUUUCAAUUGGUAUCCUAUUGUGUUCAAAAAGGGGAGAAAGUAGUAUUUCAAAAAUGGUAUAUCAAAACCCUCUUGAACACUAAGAGGAGUAUCUCAUUUAGGGGGAGUUUUGUUAAGUCAAAGGAAAAGCCUUUGAAACAAGGGGAGAAAAUUUCAAAUCUUGAAAAUGCUUUGCAAACUCUUAUUCAUUUACCUUUUGACUAUUUGCAAAAGACCUUUGAAAUGGAUUUACAAAAGGAUUUGCAAAAACAAAACAUGUGGUGCAAACGUGGUCCUAAAUGUUAAAUAAGAAAGAAACAUUCCAUGCAUAUCUUGUAAGUAGUUUUAUUGGCUCAAUUCCAAGCAACCUUUACACUUACAUUAUGCAAACUAGUUCAAUUAUGCACUUCUAUAUUUGCUUUGGUUUGUGUUGGCAUCAAUCACCAAAAAGGGGGAGAUUGAAAGGGAAUUAGGCUUACACCUAGUUCCCAAAUAAUUUUGGUGGUUGAAUUGCCCAACACAAAUAAUCGGACUAACUAGUUUGCCCAAGUGUAUAGAUUAUACAGGUGUAAAAGGUUCACACUCAGCCAAUAAAAAGACCAAGUUUUGGAUUCAACAAAGGAGCAAAAGGGGCAACCGAAGGCACCCCUGGUCUGGCGCACCGGACUGUCCGGUGCGCCACCGGACAUGUCCGGUGCACCAGGGGGACUCAGUCUCAAACUCGCCACCUUCGGGAAUUCCCUGAGGCGACUCGGCUAUAAUUCACCACCGGACAGUGUCCGGUGCGCCAAAGGAGGUCGGCCUCAGGAACUCGCCUGCUUCGGGAAACUCCAACGGCUAGUCCGCUAAAAUUCACCGGACUGUCCGGUGUGCACCGGACUGUCCGGUGCGACUCCGGAGCAACGGUCAUCUCCGCGCCAACGGCUCUCUGCCGCGCAUUUAAUGCGCGCUCUGCGCGCGCAGGAGUCAGGAUCGCCCAUGCUGGCACACCGGACAGCAAACAGUACAUGUCCGGUGUGCACCGGACACCCAGGCGGGCCCACAAGUCAGAAGCUCCAACGGUCAGAAUCCAACGGCAGUGAUGACGUGGCAGGGGGCACCGGACUGUCCGGUGUGCACCGGACUGUCCGGUGCGCCAUCGAGCAGACAGCCUCCCAACGGCCACUUUUGGUGGUUGGGGCUAUAAAUACCCCAACCACCCCACCAUUCAUUGCAUCCAAGUUUUUCACUUCCUAACUACUACAAGAGCUCUAGCAUUCAAUUCUAGACACACCAAAGAGAUCAAAUCCUCUCCAAUUCCACACAAAGCCCUAGCGACUAGUGAGAGUGAUUUGCCGUGUUCAUUUAAGCUCUUGCGCUUGGAUUGCUUCUUUUCUUUCUCACUUGUUCUUGUGAUCAAUACUCCAUUGUAAUCAAGGCAAGAGGCACCAAUUGUGUGGUGGCCCUUGCGGGGAAGUUUUGUUCCCGGCUUUGAUUUGAGAAGAGAAGCUCACUCGGUCCGAGGGACCGUUUGAGAGAGGGAAGGGUUGAAAGAGACCCGGCCUUUGUGGCCUCCUCAACGGGGAGUAGGUUUGAGAGAACCGAACCUCGAUAAAACAAAUCCGUGUGUCACACUUCAUUAUUUGCUCGCGAUUUGUUUUGCGCCCUCUCUCGCGGACUCGUUUAUAUUUCUGACGCUAACCCGGCUUGUAGUUGUGUUUAUAUUUGUAAAUUUCAGUUUCGCCCUAUUCACCCCCCCUCUAGGCGACUAUCACCUCCCGCAUUACACAUUUAUACCUAAGGGUUGACUAGCUUUUGUUAUCCAUGUCCUUGUUUACCUAUUUGGGUUGGAUUAUUAUUGUUUAGCUUUAUGCUAUUGCUCAACUCUAACCAAUGAACAUGAUGAGAAUUAUCAAUGAUACGUUGUUUUCCCUUCUUUUAUUAUGAUGUUAUACUUGUGGUCUUCAAGGGGGCUCGAGCGGUUUCUCGAGUGCCUCUCCGUAAGGACCUGUUCGUUGGAUGACCGCCCAGGAAAACAGUGCAACCAUGAGGAUGGAAUGGGGUGCCCUUAGCUGAAUAAUUAGAGGAUCCGGGGUGUAGUUCGCUUAGCCGUCGUGCCGUCAAUGGGGCUCGGUGUAUGCGGCUUGCGCUGCCAAGCUUGGGUUCGCCCCUUGGGGAGGAGUGCGGUGCAUUUAGGAAACCUAACGGGCGACUACAACCCCGAGGAAUCUUUGUAAAGGCUACGUAGUGAUGCCCUGCUGGACCACCUAGGUAGUGGCCAAUGGGGAGUAGCUCUCUCCGGGCAGAAAGGGAAUCACAGCUUGUGGGUAAAUUGCACAACCUCUGCAGAGUGUUAGAAAACUGAUAUAUCAGCCGUGCUCGCGGUUAUGAGCGGCCAAGGGAGCUCUAGUGAUUAGUGGUACUUGAUCAGAGAUGUUCGGUUUGCAGGUGGCAAUGAGAUUGAUGGUUCUUGGUUUUGACUCUGGUAAUGGUAAGUGGUACUCUUUCCGUUUGGAAAGGAGUACAUUUGGGUUAAUAACGUGGGUUAAUUCUAAAACUUGACUUUCUCUACUAGUAAUAAUAAUCUGACCAACUAAAAGCAACUGCUUGACUUACCCCCACAUAAAGCUAGUCCACUACAGCCAAACAGGAUACUUACUGAGUAUGUUGAUGUCUAAUCACCCUUGCUCUACACACCAAACCCCCCCAUCCCCAGGUUGUCAGCAUUGCAACCACUGCUUAGGAGAAGAUGAAGCCGUGGAAGGAGACUUCCAGGAGUUCCAAGACUACGACGAGUUUUAGGCAUGGGUUAGCGGCAACCCCCUAGUCGGCUGCCUGUGAAGGCCGCGUUUAUCUACGUUUUGUUUUCGCACUUUGAUUAUUGUAAAGACUAUGUGGAUGUCUCAGACAUAUGAUGUAAUCGACUAUUAUUUCCCUUUUUAAUACUAUUUGAGCACUGUGUGAUGAUG
rnacentral:lncRNA from 1 species